rnacentral:rRNA from 1 species
GUCAUCUUAUACUUGGGAGUCAGACUGUGGGUGAUAAGAUUCAUAGUCGAAAGGGCAACAGCCCAGAUCGUCAGCUAAGGUCCCUAAAUGUAAGUUAAGUGGUAAAGGAUGUGGGAUUGCACAGACAACCAGGAUGUUGGCUUAGAAGCAGCCACUCAUUCAAAGAGUGCGUAAUAGCUCACUGGUCGAGUGAUCCUGCGCCGAAGAUUUCCGGGGCUAAAACUUACUACCGAAGCUACGGCAUCAGUAAUGAUGGGUAGGGGAGCUUCCCAUACGGGUUGAAGCAUGACCGUAAGGACAUGUGGACAGUAUGGGAGUGAGAAUGUUGGCAUGAGUAGCGAGAUGUGGGUGAGAAUCCCACAGGCCGUAAACCCAAGGUUUCCAGGGGAAGGUUCGUCCGCCAUGGGUUAGUCGGGACCUAAGCUGAGGCCGAAAGGCGUAGGUGAUGGACAACAGGUUGAUAUUCCUGUACUACCGAUAACCGUUUGAGAGAAGGGAUGACACAGUAGGAUAAGCUAAGCACACUGUUGGUUAUGUGUGCCCAAGCAUUGAGGCAGUCAAAGUAGGCAAAUCCGCUUUGAUAAUGCUGGGAUGUGAUGGGGAGCGAAAUUUAGUAGCGAAGUAGCUGAUUUCACACUGUCAAGAAAAGUCUCUAUCGAGGUUAAAGGUACCCGUACCGCAAACCGACACAGGUGGGUGAGGAGAGUAUCCUAAGGCCAGCGAGAGAACUGUUGUUAAGGAACUCGGCAAAAUGACCCCGUAACUUAGGGAUAAGGGGUGCCACCAUCAGGUGGCCGCAGAGAAGGCCCAAGCGACUGUUUACCAAAAACAUAGGUUUCUGCUAAGUCGCAAGACGAUGUAUAGGAGCUGACGCCUGCCCGGUGCUGGAAGGUUAAGGGGAUCUGUUAGAGCAAUCGAAGCAGUGAACUUAAGCCCCAGUAAACGGCGGCCGUAACUAUAACGGUCCUAAGGUAGCGAAAUUCCUUGUCGGGUAAGUUCCGACCCGCACGAAAGGCGUAACGAUUUGGGCACUGUCUCAACAACAGACUCGGUGAAAUUGUAAUUCCGGUGAAGAUGCCGGAUACCUGCGACAGGACGGAAAGACCCCAUGGAGCUUUACUGUAGCUUGACAUUGGGUCUUGGUACUACAUGUACAGGAUAGGUGGGAGGCUUUGAAACCAGGACGCCAGUUUUGGCGGAGCCAUCCUUGGGAUACCACCCUUGUAGUACUGGGACUCUAACCAUAGGCCAUGAAUCUGGUCUUGGGACACUGUCAGGUGGGCAGUUUGACUGGGGCGGUCGCCUCCCAAAAGGUAACGGAGGCGCUCAAAGGUUCUCUCAGUACGGUCGGAAAUCGUACGUAGAGUGUAAAGGCAAAAGAGAGCUUGAUUGCAAGACAUACAGGUCGAGCAAGGAUGAAAAUCGGACUUAGUGAUCCGGUGGUUCUGCGUGGAAGGGCCAUCGCUCAACGGAAUAAAAGCCUACCCUGGGGAUAACAGGCUUAUCUCCCCCAAGAGUCCACAUCGACGGGGAGGUUUGGCACCUCGAUGUCGGCUCAUCACAUCCUGGGGCUGUAGUAGGUCCCAAGGGUUGGGCUGUUCGCCCAUUAAAGUGGUACGCGAGCUGGGUUCAGAACGUCGUGAGACAGUUCGGUCCCUAUCCGUCGCAGGCGUAGGAAAUUUGAGAAGACCUGUCCUUAGUACGAGAGGACCGGGAUGGACGUACCUCUGGUGUACCAGUUGUUCUGCCAAGGGCAUGGCUGGGUAGCUAUGUACGGAAUGGAUAAGCGCUGAAAGCAUCUAAGCGCGAAGCCAACUUCAAGAUAAGAUUUCCCACCGCAAGGGUAAGACCCCAGAAAGACUAUCUGGUUGAUAGGUCGAAGGUGUAAGUGCAGCAAUGUAUUUAGCUUAUCGAUACUAAUAGGUCGAGGACUUGACCAA